AUACGGAGGAUGCAAGCGUUAUCCGGAUUUAUUGGGUUUAAAGGGUGCGUAGGCGGAUGAUUAAGCGUGAGGUGAAAUGCCACUGCUCAACAGUGGAACUGCCUCGCGAACUGGUUGUCUUGAAUGCUCCUGCCGUGGGCGGAAUGUGUAGUGUAGCGGUGAAAUGCUUAGAGAUUACACAGAACACCGAUUGCGAAGGCAUUUCUCGAAGGGUUGAUUGACGCUGAGGCACGAAAGCGUGGGGAUCAAACAGGAUAAGAUGCCCGGGUAUUCCACGCAGUAAACGAGGAUGGCUAACCGAUGUGCUUAUCAGUUAAGUGGCCAAGCAAAAGCGAUAAGCAAUCCUCCGGGGGAGUACGACCGAAAGGUUGAAACUCAAAUGAAUUGACGGG
rnacentral:rRNA from 1 species